AGAGAGAGACAUGCGCGCAUAUCAAUAAGCGGAGGAAAAGAAACUAACAAGGAUUCCCUUAGUAACGGCGAGUGAAGCGGGAAGAGCUCAAAUUUGAAAUCUUCAAGGUUUUACCUUGACGAAUUGUAGUUUAAAGAAGUGUUUUCUGUUGAAGUUUUCGGUAAAAGUUCUUUGGAAUAGGACAUCAUAGAGGGUGAGAAUCCCGUAUUUGACCAUUAUUUUCAGCUUUGUGAUACACUUUCAAAGAGUCGGAUUGUUUGGGAAUGCAGUCCAAAAUGGGUGGUAAAUUUCAUCUAAAGCUAAAUAUUGGCGAGAGACCGAUAGCGAACAAGUACCGUGAGGGAAAGAUGAAAAGAACUUUGAAAAGAGAGUUAAACAGUACGUGAAAUUGUCAAAAGGGAAGCGUUUGACACCAGUGUUGUUUUCCUCGAAAAUCAAUUAAAAAUGGCUCGAUUUUGUAUUGUUGAGACCUUAAAAGCUCACUGUACAUUUUUCGUGUCUUUUUUAAUGCACUUUUCGUUUAACAAGUCAACAUCAGUUUCUUUUGUUGUAAAAGGGUCAUUGGAAGGUGGCUUUCUUUUCGGAGAAAGUGUUUAUAGCCUUUGGCCUCUGCAAUCGAAGAGACUGAGGUCUGCAGCGUAGACUCUUCGGGGUUAGAUACAUUUGUGCUAAGUUAUAGCUUUUUAUAGACAACUUGUUGACUAUAAUUAGUCUUGUAGCUUACUCGCUUAUGCUAUUUUACCUACGCUUAGGAUGUUGAGUCGUAGAGCACGCAG
rnacentral:rRNA from 1 species